rnacentral:lncRNA from 1 species
ACAAUACCAAUAUGGUAAGGAUAUGAAUACAUAGAUCUAGUCUAACUACAUAUCCUAUUGGCAUAAGGCCAAGGCACACAUAGAGAAUAUCCUAGAACAUCCCCCCUUGUGCUGCGCGCUGAUAUGCCGAUGGUGCUGAUCUGUUGCCUCGUCAAAAACCUCGUCAAGUCACAAAAACCCUGUGGGAGAAAAACUGAACCUUGAUCGUAGGAGAAAAAGAGUACAACGCACCCUUCACAUUUGAUAGUGACAUGCAAUGUUCUAAAAGGCGCUAGGCGCUAGGCGCUAGGCGGGCGGUAACCCACAGCCUAGAGCCUGGACAGCCUAGGCGAGGAUUAGGCGGGGACUAGGCGAUUUGUAUUUUUUAAGAUUUAUUAAUUAAAAAUAUAUAUUUUAUACAAUUUAAUAUUUGAAAACAGUCAAAUAUAGAUAAAUUAUUCAACAUAAUCUAGUCAUACUCAUUUAUAAAAUAAAUUAUAACUAAAAUUUAGCAUAACUUCCUGUAAAAGUGAGCAACAACAGCAAUAAACAUAUACGCUUCUAAUUUUAAACACACAAUUAACUCUUAUACUCUCAUACUCCCCACAAUAUAACAAUCCCACACAAAAAGAAAACAAAAAUAGCUGUAGAGCUUAGCAGCCUAGGCGGGCAAGGGGGCAUCUAGGCGGGCUAGGCGGCAUUUAGGCGAGCUAGGCGGCCGCCUAAUCGCCCACAGCCUGGCACAAAGGCCUGGAAGAAAAGCGAGGCGGCUUGUUACAGCCUAGAGCCUAGGCAGGGACUAGGCGGUCCUAGGCGGGGCCUUUUAGAAGCUUGGUGACAUGUAUGUAUGUGCUAGACUCCCCCUGAAGUUCGCACCUCCCCCUGAUCUUUACAUCAAUCAUAGAGCUCUUCCUGAUUCUUACUAAUCACGGAAGUUUCAACAACUUAGCAUAUCAAUGCUUUUUAACAUGUCUUCAAAUGUGGUAUUGGGCAAUGAUUAACUAAAUCAUGCCGUAUUGUCCUCAAAUGAUCUUUUACACUUAGAUCUUGAGGAGAAGGUUGCUUGUGAACUCAAAACAUAAGUUCGUGCAGGAAAUCAGAUUUCCGCGCAGCAUGACCUUCAAUUACUAGAACAGUCGUAACUUUCUCUAGGAAAUACAUAUGAACGAACCGUAAACGGUUUUGGAAACUAGACUCAUUUAGCUUUCCAACCGUAUAUUACACACGUUCUGGUUCCUCAGGAGCUAUUCACAACAUUCCGUCGAAGUUGACUGUUUUGCCAAAAUCAGUUCUCGGACAGAUUCGUCCUACUUUACGAAAACGGCCAUAACUCACUCAAUAUGAUAGGUAUGAUCAAAUGGUUGGUGUCCCUGGAAAGUAGACACAUAGACCUUUCCAAUGGUACCAAUUUCACCAUUUUACAGUGAGUGAGAUUUCCUAUAGGUCUCGUGGAAGUUGACCUACAAAACUUGGCAGAUUCUGAUUUCGCUUUUGAUGUGUCUUUCUUAUGUAGGGAUAGAAUAAGCCUCAACCCUUCAUACCAUUAAGUAUUGAAAAAGGAGUUACUGCCAUUACAUUGGCGUUGCGUGGGCGCAUAGCUACACUUAGCUUUACAACUUUUCAUAGCGAAUGAGAUGUCAAGUCUUUUGUAUUGUGUUGAGUACAUUGAUGCGUCUUUUUGUACUUAGAUGGGAACUCCAUCUCUUAACACAUAUUUGUCAUCUUGCUUUAGACAAAACAACGGAUCUCUCUAUAGAGCAAAGACCUUGACUAAUCAUGGGAGUAUAUGUAGGCCUCACUAGUUAUAGAGCGCCUAAGCCGAUUGAUCAUCAAUACAGUCAUCGAGUGCCUUAUCGAGACUGUGUCUUCCCAAGAUCUUUUUCUUCGGAUGUUGAUACAUAUUGGCAUCUCUUGAUCCAUCAAGAGUCCAUGUAAAUCCGGAAUGAACACGCAAAGGCAUAAUUCACCAUAUCCCUUCC